rnacentral:rRNA from 1 species
UACGUAGGGCGCAAGCGUUAUCCGGAAUGAUUGGGCGUAAAGCGUCCGCAGGUGGCCAUGUACGUCUGCUGUUAAAGAGUCUAGCUCAACUAGAUAAAAGCAGUGGAAACUACAUAGCUAGAGUACGUUCGGGGCAGAGGGAAUUCCUGGUGUAGCGGUGAAAUGCGUAGAGAUCAGGAAGAACACCAGUGGCGAAGGCGCUCUGCUAGGCCGUAACUGACACUGAGGGACGAAAGCUAGGGGAGCGAAUGGG